rnacentral:rRNA from 1 species
AUGGGUAUGGGAACUCCCCUUGGGGACUGCCAAGCAUGGGGGAGGUGCACCGGUUUACAUGAAGAGGGAGAAUGCCGGCAGCUGGAAUUCUGGGCUGGAAAAGGAGCAAAUAUUAGAGACCUAUUCUGCACAACUCCAAAAGUCCUGAAACUUCACGAAAAUCAGUUUUGGAAUAUAUUAAAAAUAUUGGGCGAAGAAAGCACCAGAGGGGGGCCACCCACCGCCCACGAGGGUGGAGGGCGCGCCCUACCCCCUGGGCGCGCCCCCUGCCUCGUGGGCCACCUGGCAGCCCCCCCGAUGCCCAUCUUAUGA